CCUACGGGAGGCAGCAGUGGGGAAUAUUGGUCAAUGGGCGAGAGCCUGAACCAGCCAAGUAGCGUGAAGGAUGACUGCCCUACGGGUUGUAACCUUCUUUUAUAAAGGAAUAAGGUGAGUCACGUAUUCCUUUUUGUAUGUACUUUAUGAGUAAGGAUCGGCUAACUCCGUACCAGCAGCCGCGGUACGACGGAGGAUCCGAGCGUUAUGCGGAUUUAUUGGGUUUAAAGGAAGCGUAGAUGGGUUGUUAAGUCAGUUGUGAAAGUUUGGGGCUCAACCGUAAAAUUGCAAUUGAUACUGGCAGCCUUGAGUACAGGUGAGGUAGGCGGAAUUCGUGGUGUAGCAGUGAAAUGCUUAGAUAUCACGAAGAACUUCGAUUGCGAAGGCAGCCUACUA
rnacentral:rRNA from 1 species